rnacentral:rRNA from 1 species
AAUGAACGCUGGCGGCAUGCCUAACACAUGCAAGUCGAACGAAGGCUUCGGCCUUAGUGGCGCACGGGUGCGUAACGCGUGGGAAUCUGCCCUUGGGUUCGGAAUAACAGUUAGAAAUGACUGCUAAUACCGGAUGAUGUCGUAAGACCAAAGAUUUAUCGCCCAAGGAUGAGCCCGCGUAGGAUUAGCUAGUUGGCGGGGUAAAGGCCUACCAAGGCGACGAUCCUUAGCUGGUCUGAGAGGAUGAUCAGCCACACUGGGACUGAGACACGGCCCAGACUCCUACGGGAGGCAGCAGUGGGGAAUAUUGGACGAUGGGCGAAAGCCUGAUCCAGCAAUGCCGCGUGAGUGAUGAAGGCCUUAGGGUUGUAAAGCUCUUUUACCCGGGAUGAUAAUGACGGUACCGGGAGAAUAAGCUCCGGCUAACUUCGUG